GGAAGUGAGGGCAAUCUGGCUGCAACAUCAGUCACCCUAUUGAUCCCCUGAGUUGACUCAGCUGAUCUGGCUGGCUAGGCAGGUAUCUCCUACUUCAGUACUCCACAUACAUCCCUCCAAAGCUGCAUGUUUAGUUGAAGAGGACAAACAUCCCCAAUAGAGGAGGACCAUUCCUCUGUCAAGGGUAUACAAGUAGCUGUGUUCCCCUGCUAAUAAGCUCUCAAGAAAUGAAAAGAGUGAAAUUACAAUAGAUCUUAGAGAAGUGCAGGAAGUCAUCCAUAUCUACCUUGCAAACCUAUAGUCUAAUA
rnacentral:snRNA from 1 species